CCUACGGGAGGCAGCAGUGGGGGAUAUUGCACAAUGGGGGGAACCCUGAUGCAGCGACGCCGCGUGGGUGAAGGAGUGUUUCGGCGCGUAAAGCCCUAUCGGCAGGGAAGAAGGAGGAAGGUACCUGACUUAAAAGCCACGGCUAAAUACGUGCCAGCAACCGCGGUAAUACGGAGGGGGCGAGCGUUAAUCGGAAUUAAUGGGCGUAAAGCGGUCGUAGGCGGUAUGUCAAGGCAAGGGUGAAAUCCCCGCGCUCAACGGGGGAACUGCCUUUGAAACUGGCAAGCUGGAGUGGGUGAGAGGAUGGUGGAAUUCCAGGUGUAGGGGUGAAAUCCGUAGAUAUCUGGAGGAACAUCAGUGGCGAAGGCGACUAUCUGGCACAUAACUGACGCUGAGGAGCGAAAGCGUGGGUAGCAAACAGGAUUAGAUACCCCAGUAGUC
rnacentral:rRNA from 1 species